rnacentral:misc_RNA from 1 species
AAUUAUUGCAUAGAACUAGAUUUACUGUAGAUUCAUUACAUUAAUUAUAUUUCCCCGCUAUUAUAGAUUCCUUGCAAUUUGGACCCAUUUUCCAGCUUACCAUCACCAAUCUAGACCCAGUAGUAUAUGUUAUUGUGGUAGAAGUUCAUUUGCUUCUCUUCUGUGCUUACUUUUUAUCAUUUGCUUACUUUUGACCUUUUAUAUAUAUCUUAUGCUUUCAUGCUUUAAUUUUUGGUUGGCAAGCCAUUUUUUAGUUAGUUUUCACUGUUUGCAAGUA